rnacentral:tRNA from 2 species
GCCAGCGUGCCGACUGUUGGUAGUCGGAGCGGACUGUAAAUCCGUCGCCUUCGGGCAUCGGGGGUUCGAUUCCCUCCGCUGUGCACCA